rnacentral:rRNA from 1 species
CUCCUGCCGGCGACCGGCGCACGGGUGAGUAACACGUAUGCAACCUGCCCGUGGCAGGGGGAUAAGCGGGGGAAACCCCGUCUAAUACCGCGUAACGCGGCCUAGGGACAUCCCAAGGCCGCCAAAGGGAGCAAUCCCGGCCACGGAUGGGCAUGCGGCGCAUUAGCUAGUCGGCGGGGUAACGGCCCACCGAGGCGACGAUGCGUAGGGGUUCUGAGAGGAAGGCCCCCCACACUGGUACUGAGACACGGACCAGACUCCUACGGAAGGCAGCAG